rnacentral:rRNA from 1 species
AUUGAACGCUGGCGGCAUGCCUUACACAUGCAAGUCGAACGGUAACAGGUCUUCGGAUGCUGACGAGUGGCGAACGGGUGAGUAAUCCAUCGGAACGUGCCUAGUAGUGGGGGAUAACUACUCGAAAGAGUGGCUAAUACCGCAUGAGAUCUACGGAUGAAAGCAGGGGAUUGCAAGAACUUGUGCUACUAGAGCGGCCGAUGGCAGAUUAGUUAGUUGGUGGGAUAAAAGCUUACCAAGCCGACGAUCUGUAGCUGGUCUGAGAGGACGAUCAGCAACACUGGGACUGAGACACGGCCCAGACUCCUACGGGAGGCAGCAGUGGGGAAUUUUGGACAAUGGGCGAAAGCCUGAUCCAGCAAUGCCGCGUGCAGGAUGAAGGCCUUCGGGUUGUAAACUGCUUUUGUACGGAACGAAAAGCUCUGGGUUAAUACCCUGGGGUCAUGACGGUACCGUAAGAAUAAGCACCGGCUAACUACGUGCCAGCCGCCGCGGUAACUC